UACGAAGGGGGCUAGCGUUGCUCGGAAUCACUGGGCGUAAAGCGCACGUAGGCGGCUUUCUAAGUCAGGGGUGAAAUCCUGGAGCUCAACUCCAGAACUGCCUUUGAUACUGGAGAGCUCGAGUCCGGAAGAGGUGAGUGGAACUGCGAGUGUAGAGGUGAAAUUCGUAGAUAUUCGCAAGAACACCGGUGGCGAAGGCGGCUACACUGGCCCGGAACUGACGCUGAGGCACGAAAGCGUGGGGAGCAA
rnacentral:rRNA from 1 species